rnacentral:rRNA from 1 species
UACGUAGGGUGCAAGCGUUAUCCGGAAUUAUUGGGCGUAAAGAGCUCGUAGGCGGUUUGUCGCGUCUGCUGUGAAAACCGGAGGCUCAACCUCCGGCCUGCAGUGGGUACGGGCAAACUAGAGUGCGGUAGGGGAGAUUGGAAUUCCUGGUGUAGCGGUGGAAUGCGCAGAUAUCAGGAGGAACACCGAUGGCGAAGGCAGAUCUCUGGGCCGUAACUGACGCUGAUGAGCGAAAGCGUGGGGAGCGAACAGG